rnacentral:rRNA from 1 species
GACGAACCGUGCGAACGUUGUUCGGAAUCACUGGGCUUAAAGGGCGCGUAGGCGGCCGAGCGGGUCGUGGGUGAAAUCCUCCAGCUUAACUGGAGAACUGCUGACGAUACCACUGCGGCUCGAGGAAGGAAGGGGCAAUCGGAACUGUCGGUGGAGCGGUGAGAUGCGUUGAUAUCGACAGGAACGCCGGUGGCGAAAGCGGAUUGCUGGUCCUUUUCUGACGCUGAGGCGCGAAAGCCAGGGGAGCAAACGGG